GUUUUAGUAGCUUAAUACAUUACAAAAGCAUUGGUCUUGUAAACCAAAGAUAAUAAAUAUAUUCUAAAACU
rnacentral:tRNA from 1 species